rnacentral:lncRNA from 1 species
AGGAGAGUGCGCAAGAGUAUGCUUCCACUGGAGUUGGAUUAUUAGCUGGAUCAUCCAUCCUGCUUCUCACAGUUGUGUGGGGGACCUGUGUUAUUGUUGGCAAGCAAAGUUUUAAAAAUGACUCUCAUUCUUCUGAUACCUCAUAUUUAUCAACCGGAAGAAUAAAACAAGCUUUGACUGGUUUGCUCUUAAUUCUAUCUCUUUUUUUUUGGUUAAAAAUUCUAUCUCUUUAUUUAAAUCCCUUAGCACAUGUCUUACUAUGUAAAUAUGUCAUAACAUUCUUUUUUUUAGAGUUCAAUUUUUAUACACAUCAAAUGUAGAAUUUUAUACUAUAAACAAAUCACAAACAAUCAUCUAUUUGACUUUAGAAGUAGUUAUGAUUACAAUUAUGAUUGAUUGAAAGUACAAAAAUAUAUUUACAUUUACAAUGUAUAUGAAUUAAAUCUUAUUUCUAACAUUCACACAAAUAUCUAAAUGAUAAAACAUAACUAGAUGUAUGUGUAAAAUAGUUUUAAAUGCAUUUCAUACAUGAAGUUUUAAAUUCUUCAAUUAGAAUUACCAUAACUCCUUUAUAGUUUUUUAUUUGAAUUCUUAAUGUGUAAUAUUUUUUUAUAUUUAUGAUAGGUUAUGGCAUUACUAUGGAUAUAGACACUAGAAAGAUGGCGAGAAUCAUGGUUUUCUCUGUUAUACCACUCCUCAUCAUGCAGAUUCCCACUUUGUUCUAUUUCUCUACAACAUUACGCAAUGUGACCUUGAUAGUUUCUCUCAUCAUUGCUGUCACUUUUCUCAUCUCAUACUUCAUUUACCAGGUGCCCCAUUCACUUACUCGUAUUUGCUUUUAAGUUAAUCUUUAAAAUAACUACUCCAUCCGUUCCAAAAUGUAAAAAAAAAUUGGUCAAUAAAAGUUAAUGUAUUUUGUUCAAAAUGUAAAAUACCAUUAUGAUAUACAACUAAGUUUAAAAUUGAAGUUGUGUUGUAAACCUUAAUAUUGUAGGAAAUCAUAGUUAAAUACAAUUGAUGCAAUCUCAAUCUCGGUUGCAACUCAAAUUUUUUAUGAUAAUAAUCUUGAUGUCACUCUUAAAUUGCAGUCACGUACUAUUUUAUAAAAUCUAGGCUUAAUAUAUCAUUUGGUCCCUUAGCUUAUUUUAUUUUUUCAUUUUGGUCCCCUAACUAUCACGUGUUUCAAUUUAGUUCCAUAACUCUUAUGUCGUUUACCAUUUUAGUCCUCUCCGUUUGUUUUUAACCUUAUAUGUCUAAGGUGAACCGUGACCCACCAUAGUAAUUUGGAAUUGGGAGGCGAAGCAUAUCCAUAUAAAUUAAUUACUCAACUUGUAAUAGACUAGUUUGACUCUCUUUUUGAUAUUUUUCAAUGUCAAAUUGUCUUCUUAUUUUUAUCCAAUGAAAUAUGCAGCUCUUUAAACCUCAGAUAGAGAAAACAAGACUGGAAUACAUAAAGCAUGAUGAUUUAAUUUUAAGAAUUUUCCAACGUGUUGAAAAGCAAACUCUACAAAAGAUCCUAACUGAGGAUGGAACUCCUAAUGUAGCUGCCAUAAAUGGGUAAGUCAGAUUUCAUGGAACAUUUAUCAACAAAAUAAAUGUUGUUUGAAUUAGUUUAUUUGAACUUAUCUACUAGCACAAGCACUUGUGAUACAGUGUAAGAGAACUUAUAAAAACAACUUAUGACAUGUUCAUAUGUUGUUUUCAGAUUAUUCUCAUAAACUCUAGUUAUCACUUCUUUAAGGAGAAAUUGUUAUUAAUCAAAUGACACUAAUGGCCGUUUUCAACUGGCUCACUGACAGAAAUUGAACUUCUUCUCUUAAAGUUACAAGAUUAAACUCUUACGCGUGAGCUGACACCUCAUGGAGAAAUUGAUCUUAUUUUAUCUUAAGAAAUAUGGUUUAUGACAAUAGUUAUCCCUCUUUAAGGAGGAAUUAUUAUUAAUUAAAUGACACUAAUGGCCAUUUUCAACUGGCUCACUGAGAGAAAUUGAACUUUUUUUUUGGUACAAAGAGAAAUUGAACUUCUUCUCUUGAGGUUACAAGAUCAAACUCUUACGUUUAAGCUGUCACCUUAUGGAGAAAUUGAUUUUAUUUUAUCUUAAUUGAAAACAGUUUGAUUUUAGUUUAUCUUUUGUUAUAGAAAUCACUUAUAUAUAACCUCUUAUAUGAUAAACACUAUAGAAAACAAUUUCCCUUAGUUUCCUACGUACAUAACCCUAAUAGUGUACUUCAUCAUGCAGACUAUACCAUGAAUUCAGUCAACAUGGAAAACACUUAUCAACUUCUGAAGUAAAAGAGUUGUUGCUUGGGAACAAUUUAGCCGACACAAAUAUCAGAGAGGACCAAAUAGCAGACAUGUUAAAAGCUUUUGACAAAAAUGGCGACCAAAUUAUAACCAAAGAAGAAUUUGUUAGUGGCUUAACAGAAUAUAUUAACCAAACAAAGCAUGCUUUGGAUAGAAAGUACCUCCCUAAGGAAUCUAUGAACAAAAUGUAUCAGGUAAGUGAUGCAAUUCAAAGCCUGACAUGAUUGUUAUAUAUUAUAUUGAUAUUUUUCUUGCACAAUCUACUAUUACAUGAUAUAACGUGCUUCUAGCAUAAGCGCGUAUGUAUAAGCUAUUACUGUAACAAAUGAUAAAAUAAAGUAAAACUAUUUUCAUAAAUUCUAUAAGUUUUAUCUUAGAAAGUUUAUGGAAAUAAGUUGAAAACAACUUAUGGACAUGUUAGUCAUUUCUAUAAGCUCCCACAAACAGUCUCACAAAUGCUUAUGUCAGCUGAUAAGUUCAAAUAACUCAAUACAAUCUUAUUGUAUUCUAAACAGAGUUUUAUCAAACCAUGGAUUGAACACGUGAGAAAAGAACGUGAAUUGAAGGGACAACUUAUUUCCGGAGUCUUAAGUCAUGCUCAGAAUGAUAUGGUUGGUAGGAUGCUCCAUGAUGAUGGUACAGCUGAUAAAGAUGCUAUCAAAAGGUCUGCAUAUUUAUAUCUUUGAUUACACGUAUGACAAUAUAUAUAAAUAUGUUUUUUAUGAGUGUUUUCUUGCUCCUUGUGAUGCAAUAGGUUAUUUGAGCAAGUUGAUGGCGAUGGCGAUAACCAUGUUUCAAGAUCCGAGUUAGAGAAAGUAGUUAGGGAGACUCAUUUUGGUAAGGCUGUAGAUGCAGAGGAAGCAGUCUCAAAACUCCUUCACGAUCUUGAUGCCAACAAAGACAAUGAGAUUAGUGAGAAUGAAUUUGUUGAUGGCUUCACCAAAUGGAUAAACUCAAAUUCUAGUAAACCAGGAAGCUCAAAAUCUUCUUCUCAUGAAACUCAUCAAGUAUUUCCCUUAUUCCUUUACUCAAUAACUUGACAUAUUCACUAAAACAUGACUAUGGCCUUCCCAUUUCUAAAUUAGAAAAUAUAUAUAGUCUCCCAAUUUGUAAAAUUUAUGGGAAAAAAUAUUAGAAACAUGGAUACUACCUACAUUCUCAAAUUUAGAAACAUGGAUACUAAAUUGACUAAAAUUGCAUUUAAACCAAUUUCUUCCAUUUUUGCUACACUUGAACUUGAUCAAUAAAAAAUUUGUUUACAAAUGGUAUAUGAAUGAUUGUUUAUUAGACAUGGGAAGAUGUUGAGAAGGUAAUGGAAGAGAAUCAAACCAAAGGGGUGACUGCAUGGUUAGAAGCUAUAGCAUACGUGAUGUUGGGAAUUGCUAUGUUGUCACUUCUUGCGGAGCCUCUAAUAGCAAGUGUUCAAAAAUUCUCUGAAGCUGCAGGAAUUUCAUCAUUUUUCAUCUCUUUCAUUUUAGUCCCUUUGGCUACAAAUUUUAGAGAAGCAACCUCAGCAAUCAAAGAAGCUAGCCACAAAAAAAGCAGUAAUACUUCUCACACUAUGUAUGAGGUUAGUCAUGUUCCUCUGUCAGUCUAACUUCUUCAAUAUUUUAUCCUUGGUUUAAAAAUACUAUGAGGAUCCCUAAAUUAUUUGAAGAUCUUUAAAUAGGUCUUAUAACUCUAAAAAAAAUUAAGUUCUUAAAAUUAUCAAUAAUUUAUAAGUAGGUCUUUAAACUAAAAAUGUUUUUAAUUGGAUCCUUGAAUUUUUAAAAUUUAUAAUUAAGUCUCUAAAAUUUUAAGUAAUUUCUAUUUGCAUCGUUAAACUCUAACUUCAUUACACAUUAUUUGAAAGUUUUUUUUUAAGAAACAUAAAUGGAAUUUUAUUCACAAAAACGGAGACUCCUCUUUGGCACAAGGCGUACCAAAAAGGUUCUCAAAGUUACACAGUAUCAGUCACAAUAAAAAUACAAUAGUCGUUAGCCGAUACCCAGACAUGUCAAUGGGUUCGACCACCACUGCUGACAACCAAAAACAAAAGCGGCAUUAUUAGCCUGCAACCACCAGUAGGAAUGAAAUUUAACCUUCUGCAAGAGUUGUAAAGAGGAACUCUGAGAAUUAUUAAAUAACUUAUUAUUACGCUCAUUCCAAACUAGCCAAAUACAAAGAAGGCAAAUUAACUGCAUAAAAGAUUGCCGCUCCCUCGAGCCACCGAAGUAGUUCGUAAAAUGAACAAAAUGAUCAGGAAUACUCUGAUGGUCUACACAAUAAACGCCUAUCCAAAAGCGAACAUGCUGCCAAAGAGAGCCAGAUAAAUCACACAGGAGAAACAAAUGUUGAGCCGUUUCGGCCUGUCCACAUCCCGCCAAGCAAGAUGUGCUUAAACCUGUAAUGAUGUCGCGGCCAAGAAGGUUGUUUUUUGUCGGUAACCUGUCACGGAGAAGCCGCCACGCUAAUAUAGAGACCUUCACAGGGACCUUAGAGUGCCAUAUCAGAUUUUCGGAAGUAUGCAACAUAGGAGGAUCCUGAGAAGUGAGCAAAUGAUCACAUUAUUUGAAAGUUGAUACCCAAUUAAAAAAAAUUAAUUCAAGGACCUUUUACAUUUUUUUUAGUUUAGAAAUUAGAGACUUAUUUAUAAAUUCUCAAAUAAUCAGAUCUCCAUAAGAGUUAAACAUUUUUUUUUUUGGAUAAAAAGAGUUAAACAUUUAGUCUAUGAAUAAAUACUUAUGAAAGAUUUGGGUCAAUGCAGAUUUAUGGUGCAGUGUUCAUGAACAACAUUCUUGGAUUUGUGGUGAUAUCUAUUCUUAUAUAUAUGAGGGAUAUCACUUGGGAAUUUUCAGCUGAUGUAUUAGUGGUGGCAAUUGUUUGUGUUGUGAUGGGUCUCACCACUAGUUUUCGUUCCACUUUUCCUCUGUGGACAUCCUUCCCAACAUACCUCUUGUAUCUAAUAUCAUUAGUUAUGGUUUAUGUUCUCAAAGAUGUUCUCAAUUAUGUGUAGUGUUCUUAAUUUUGAUAUCAAGCUAAGGUGAAAUGUUUUUGUUCUCAAAGAUGUUCUCAAUUAUGUGUAGUGUCCUUAAUUUUGAUAUCAAGACAAGGUGAAAUAAAAAAUCUAGAUAUGGUUCAUUGGAAAAUAUUGUGUGAUAGUCAGAAUAUAUUAUAUGAUAUGAAUUCUAACCUUGUUGAUACCUUGAUGGAAAUGAAAUUGAGAUAAACACUUAAACGAAUUCAGCCCCUAGACUAAUUUCGCCUUAAAUUUUGUGUACAUAAAAAUAUACUAAAGGGAAUGAAUACCAGUAGAUUUUAUUUUCUUCAAAAUAAAAUUUUUUUUGAAGGACUUUUCUUCAAAAUAAUAGAAAUAGACUUUACAUUUAGACCCAUUAGUUGGGUUGUCCAUGCUUGGACUCUAGGUUGAUCCAACUACUGAUUUCGUAUCAUAAACUUGAUGAAAUUCAUGGUCCCCAAAAUGGGAAUGUCUCUCACUAAUAAGGAGUGACAUUCAUGUGAUUUAGUAUUUAAGAUAUGAAGGUAUACUUUUUGGUUAAGACAUUUAUUAACAUUUUUAUGAAAAUGAUCCUUAUGUAUGAAAUGAGGUUUUAAAUUGCUACUGUUAGAAAAGAGACUGAUUUAUUUCAAAGGUGUAAUUACAAUGUGAAAAUUGUUGUUCUCACAUCAAAGGUUGUUAGGAAACACCACGAAAUUAUUAAGAUAAUCUCAUCGGCAGUUAAUUACCGAUGAAUUUUAACCGAAAGUGCUUAACUGCCGAUGAAAAUUGAGAUUAAAUUUAUCAUUUCAUUGAACAACAACUUUUUUACAAUGUCGGUAGCUAUUCUAUUUAAAUAAAGAAAUAUCAAGAUCUAUUGGGUUUGCUAAAUAAACCACAUAUUAAUAAAAGUAAUUACUAAUAUUACUAUUUACAGUCCUUUACAAGACAUCCCAUCAUCAAACUGAUGAAUAGAUGUAUGUCAUUCUCAACUUGCAGGUAAGGUGGUUGAAUUUUUCGGUUGAUGAUGACAGAAUAUCAUAUGAUAUUUUUGGCUAUAUUUUUAGUACUUUUCUUUGCAUUUGAAGACAAAUAACUUGAGAGAUAGAGGAGUUGUUAAUGGUUAGAGGAACAAUAUUGUUUUCAAUCGAGUCGUUGUAAUGCACUUUCGUCCUAGAUCAUGUAACUCCAUAGGUGUUUUGUAGCGAGAAAUCAUGUAAUUCGACAAAUCAAGACAUCACGUGAUCAAGGAUAUGAAGAAUGAAAUCAAAAGUUCUAAGAAGGUUUUUGAAGACAAUACAAAGUGAAUAAAAUUUGACAAGUGCAUCAAACUGUUUUUAAGCACUAAAUUUCAACUAGGUAUCGCAAAUAAAUUAAAUGAAAGCAGGGGGGAAUCCCCUAUCUUUUCCUUGUUGGAUUAAGGAGAAGUAAUUAUCAGCUAUGAGAUAAAAGUUAUAUUUAAGUGAUAAGUUCAUGGGCAUCACGGGAUUGUUAUGUUCCUCCAGCUGUCGAGUUGCACCUGCUGAUCACAAUAAGGUUAUAAAUGCUCAACGGGUAUAGGGUCGUCAACCCUACAGGGUUCGUAUGCCUACGUAAGGUUGUUAGAGUGGGGCCUUACUCUCUUAAAAUUAAUUGAACCAUAAAAGAAUUGGUAUUCCUAAAUUAUCUUCUAAAGGCUUCAACUUCGUCUAUGAACCUUAAAAGUACAUCACAUACCCUUUCUAACCUUAGUAGUUCUGCAAACAGGUAGCCCUAUGUAGUCUACCUUUCCGAGGGGAAAUAAUAAAAUUUAUAAUGCAACGUUCGAAAAAGAGUUACCAGGGGUGUCCUUAGGAUCACCGCCUGCAUCCUUAUUUCUAUGUUCAAUUGAAAUUCACCAGGGUUGUUACUCUCCCUAGGAAGCAUUAAGACUUUUGCAUAUAAAAAUUAAAUAAAUCUCAAAACAUAAAUGAAUAAAAUACUUGAAUUAGAUAGAUCCAAUAAACAAAUAGAGGUGUAUCUCUAGAGACAAAGGUUGAGGACAUACUCUUCUUUUGAUGCUCCUAACACUUGUCUUCCUCUUGAACUGCUUCAUUCUGAAUGAGUAUUUGUGAAUAAGAAGAGUUGUAUUUAUAGGAUGAUUUGCAUGUAGGUUUGGGCUAAAAACUGAGCUUUUUCUUCAAACCCGCAACCAAAAACAAUAAAAUAUAAUGUUGUUUUUUUUCACAGAGGCGCAAAUGCCUCGCACGUGGUCUGGUGAUUGCCAUACGUGUGAGUAAAAAUAAUGUUUUUAUGCAUUGUUUUGCACACCCCCAGGGGCGCGUUGUCACGCGCCUAAUGUGCGUGGCACUUGUUUUUAGUGUGUGUCUUGUCUUUUCUUCGUCUUUUUGAGUGCUUUCUUCCAUCGAACUUGUGUUAGGACAUGAGAUAGAAUUUCUCUACUUGUAAUAUCUUGAGAGGUCUCUUGAAUCUUCAUUCAUUGUCUUCCCAAUUCUUCAUGAGGUAUUUUGCUUUGUAGAACUACAUGUUUUUUUAAUGAAAUACAUCAAAAACACCUAAGAAUUGUUUGGUUUAGGGAAAACUAUAAUUACUUGACUUGAACCACAUAAAAUUGUUUUAAAACUCCUAUAAUUUGGGUCAUAUCAUAACUAAAAUGACUGAAAAGUAUGCUGAAAAUAAUGUAAGAUGGUCUGUCAUCAACUACAAAUAUGGAGCAUGAGUUUUGUGAAUCAUUGUCCGACCUGUUACAUUUUGACUCAAUCUGAGGCUUAUGUGACCCACAUAUACUAAGUUAUUGGCCUUGAGAAAGAAUAAGCUCCCCUCACACGACUGCUUUAGCAGCCACUUAACCUUCCCUUCACAAAGAGGAUUCCUAGCCUAAAGCUCAAUCACCUAUUUGCCGAUAUAUGUUAACAAGAUAUUUGUUUUUAAGUGUGAACAAAGGCCCCCUACAUUGUAUUAUCGUUUAUACAUGGAGUGAUGAGAUGAUCUGACACAAAUAUUAGAGUUUUGCAUGAAAAAAGUCAUCAUUACACUGUAAAGUAGGAAAUGAACCGUCUUACAUAACCUUGAUUUGGCCAAUGCAACAAUUAUCACUCUUUACUCAACUUUUGUCGAUUCAACUCCUCCAAUAGAAAUUCUGGCUUCUUUAUGACCAACCCAGGAAACCUUAUUUGUUGAUUAGAUGCUUCUUCUUAUAAAUUUCCUAGGUUUGGACAUAUGGUACAAGUAGCCAAAUGAUCCAGCCCCGUUGAGGACAAGACAAAAAGAAAGAAGAAAAAAUAGACUAUUAUCAGAGUCACAAACAGGUAAUAAAAAAGGUCUCGUUUGAACUCAAGGUGGAGUGUUGAAAAUUAAGAAGCCUCACAUAGAAGAGAACAAAGAUAACGAAAGUGUUUAUAAGUGGUGGAGAGUUUGAGCCGGUUGAUUUAAAUUUUUAGGCCUUUGGUAAAAAUAGAGAAUAACUAAUAAGUUAACUUAUAACUUAUAGUAGAUGAUUGAUGAAUGAUCACUUAUAGUUUAUAAUUAAUAAUUGAUAGCUCAUGACUAGUGACUUAUAACUGCUAAGUUAGUUGAAGUGUUUGGUAAAAUUAUGUGUUCAACUAGUUAAUAAAUGUAAAAUGACAUAAAAGGAUAAUAUUUUUCUUUUAGGGAGUAAAAGGACAAUCUUAAUUCAUAGUAAAAUUAAGGCUUAAUUGCAUGUUUGAUCCCUUAUGUUUAUUUUAGUUUUCAAGUUGGUCUCUUAUGUUUUAAAAGUUUCCAGUUGAUCCAAAACGUUACCUACGUUAGAAUAAGUUAGUUCCUUCCGCGACAUGAUAUUGAAAUUAAUAAAACAAAAAAAUUAAUAAAAAUGUUUUAAAACUAAUUUUUUAAAUAAGUUAAGUUCCAUCAUUUAUAUUGUCAACCCGGAUCUUCAAAUUUAAGUGACGGGGGAGAUUAACUUAUUCCAACGUGAGUAACGUUUUGGACCAACUUAAAACUUUUAAUACGUAAAAGACCAACUUCAAACUUUUAAAACAUGAAGGACCAACUUAAAAACUAAAAUAAACAUAAGGGAUCAAACAUGCAAUUAAACCUAAAAUUAACAUCCAUUAUAUUUAAGUAUUUGAAAUUUAUUAAUUUAAUAUAUCUUUUAUAUAUUAUUUAAUAUAUCUUUUAUUUUAUAUUUUAGUAUUUAUUUUUAUUUCAAUAUACUAUACAAAAAAUUAAACAUAAUGAUAAAAUACAGGAAGUGGAAGAUUUAGACAUGACAAAAAAAAAACUAGACGUGAUGAUAAAAUAUAAAGAGUCAAGACAUAAAAAACAUAAAUAUAUUUUGUGUAGCAUUGUUAAGGAAGUGGUGUUGGCGGAUGUUGAUUGACAAGGAGGGACUAUGGUAUCGAGUCUUAAAGGCGAGGUAUGGGGAGGAAGGGGAGCAGUUAAGGGAGGGAGGGAGAGAUAGUUCUGAUUGGUGGAGAAUGAUGUCUGACAUUUGUUGUGGUGUUGGUGUGGGGGUGGAUAAUUGGUUUGAAGAUAAUGCCCGUAGGGUUGUGGACGACGGGCAUAGUAUUUGUAACACCCCGUUUUAACAUGUUUGGGUGGAGUUGUUUAGUUAAUUGGGAUAGAGACAUUGGAUUAAUAAGGGUAGCAUAUAUAAACUAAAGCUUUAAUUAAUGGUAGUAGUUUAAUUAAGAAAAAAAAAAGUGAGAGAAAAUAAUAUUUAGAAAGAAAAUAGAGUUUUUUUAGAAAGAAUAAUAAAUUAGAGUGCGAACGGGGGGAUUAGUAACAUUAGGUAGAAAAGAGGUGUAGUUAGUGAGAUGAGUAGUGCUUUAAUGAUUUAAGUAGAGGGGAGUGUGAAUAGUAAGACGGUGUAGCUACAGAAAUAAUAGUAACAAAUUCAAGAGGUGCAGAUAAUAAUUUGAAAAGAUUAGUAACAAACCUAGAUGACAUAUAGUAAUCUAAAAAGAUUAGUGACAAACUUAAUUAGACCUUAUAAAUAGAGAAGAGAAUUAGAGAACAAGGGUUGCCGAGAAAGAGAGAAACAAAGCGGCAAAAAAAAGACUAGGGUUAUGGAAUGAAGAGGCAAAGAGGAAUAACGAGAAGAAUCUAGAGAGAGAUUUCACCGUAGAAAAUCAUCAAUUUUGCAAAACUAGAGGUAGGGGGAGUUUUAUGGUAAGGGGGAGUUUUAUUCAUCAUAUGGGCUAUGUACUUAUGUGGGGUAGUGAAGGGUCGUUAAAUUUUCUUUGUUUUGAUGAAUCUAUUAUUAAAUUCGUUUUUUUUUUUUUUUAUGUUGCUUAAUUAAUUAUUGAUUUUUUUUUUUUGAAGACAUAAAAAUGGAAUAUAUUAACAACGGCAGUAAAACACCUAAGUACAAGAUGUACUAAAAGUGCCACCCCUGAUAACAGUCAAACAUACAAAGUAGAGUCAAAGCAAAGGUCGAUCUAAACCCAAACAAAAUAAAGGGUCCGACCACCAUUUUGGGUACCAUACAUAAAAUUUGCUUUGUUAGCUUGAAGCCACUAUAAAGAAUGAAAUUGAACUUUAUCUGCUAGUUGUUCAACCGUGGUUUGGAUAUUAUUAAAAAGUCUAUUAUUACGUUCGUUCCAAACCACCCAAACACAAAGUAACCAAAUAAGUUGAAGAAAUGACUGACGAGCCUUUGAGUGACCUGUAGAGUGAGUAAACUGAAUGAAAUGGUCAUCAAUAAGGGUCAGCACCUGACAUUCCAAUCCAAGACCUGAUAAGAUGCCACAAUGAACCAAAAGUGGCGCAAUGAAUAAAUAAAUGAGAUGUAGUCUCUUCCAUACCGCAUCCUGUGACACACAUACAUGCCUCGCCGUUGAUUAUGCCACGCCUUAGAAGAUGGUUCUUAGUCGGCAACCUAUCUCUCAAUAAUCGCCAAACAAAAAUGGAAACCUUCAGCGGCACCUGCUUAUGCCAUAUAAAAUCUCCCAAAGGAACGUCUGGAGGUUCCGCUUGAGUUGUAAGAUGAUGAUAGGCGCCUCCCACACUAUAUCCACCAACAGAAUCAGAGUCCCAUUGAUUUUUGUUUCUAAAUUGUGAUGUUUUUUGUUUAAAUUCCUGAUUGAAAUAUGAUGAUGUUGUGCUUUAGAAUAUAUAUAAUGAAGAAUAGUAACAUGGAAUUAGAUGUAAUUGUUUUUCGAUGCUUAUUUGUUUCUUUAAUUCAUUGAUGCCUUUAAAUUAAUGAAUCCUGUUUUCGGUAAAUCAAUUGAUUUUUGUUACUUAUUCUAAAUUAACUAAUUUAUUUCGAAUAGCAGACCUGUUUCUUUCGAAUUACAUGUUCUUUCUUUGUUAUAUUUUUAGUUCUCUGAUCUUUAUAUAUCACUACCUAAAUUUCCUUUCAUUAUAGUCAUUGAUAUUGAUUCAUAUCCUUUCAUAGUGACACAAUUGAAAUUAGAUUCUUUCUAUAUUGAUAUUAUCUCUUUCGGUUACUAAGAAAUCAAUUCAAAUUAAUUUUUGAAUAAAUACUUAUAAAAAGAAGCUACUGAUAAUUAAAAAAAUGUUUGAGUUAGUCACUUUUGAUUUGUGUUCAAUGUAUUCAUGCACAUAUACUUUGGCGUUACCCGUAAUUUGAUUGUAUAAAUUUCAGUAAAGAUUAAUUAAAAUUGACUGCAUGUUUUUGUAUUGGUUAGUUAUGUAAUUUGAUGUGUUAUUUAACGAUGUGUAAAUGAUGAUAUAAUUGAUGAUGUGUUAUCUAAUGAUGAAUAUUAAACGAUGUGUUACUUAAUGAUGUUGUAUUUGACGAUGGUGCUAUUUAAAGAUGUGCAUUGUUUAGUCUUUAUCUGUAUUCAUGCAUUCAUGGUUGAGUCUAUUUAACAAUGUGAUUUAACAUACUUUGAUAGUGUUGUAUCCAAAGAUGAUGUUCUCUUUAAAAUACUUUGAUGGUGUUGUAUUCAAAGACGGUGUUACUUUUAAAAUACUUUGAUGGUGUUGUAUCAAAGACGGUGUUGCUUUUAAAAUACUUUGAUGGUGUUGUAUUUAAAGAUGACAGGAUAAAAUUGGUGAGUAGGUUUGGUACCACAUGCAUAUAGAGUCGAGUUAGGGACAUUGCAUACAUAACUGCAAGUCUACUUGAAGAUGUGUAAUUAAAAGAUGUGUAAUUUAAAGACGUGUAAUUAUUUAAAGAUGUGAUAUUCAAUUAUGUGUUUCUAAAUGGUCAUGUGCGAAUAAUAUGUAUUUUGCUAGAUGUCUUUUUGAUAUUCUUAAAUGUUGUUGAUGCUCACAUAUUAUUAUAAGAUGUUGACUGAUAUAUGUUGAUUUUAUUAAAUGAAUGUAUAUAUUUAAAUGGGAACAGUAUCUGAUUGUGAUGUAUACAUACCUAAAUGUAAAUGAUGUAUCCUUUGUUCUAGAUCUAUACAUGUGUUUUUGCAUUUCUUAUGUUGAAUAUAUUCCCACCCUCUAGUGGCGGGUUGGGCGCUUGCACCCUCGUGGUUUAGAUUUGCAGGAAGAAGAUCUUAGUAGCAGUGAGUCUCGGAGGAUGGCGUUGGGGCCUUCUCCUUUUUGUCUAUCACUUUUUGGGAGUUUUAUUGAGUCGAAGCUCUGAUCAGUAACACUAGGGACCGAGAUUUCUUUUUAUUUUAGACUCUAUUUUAGAAUUCUUUUGAAUUUAGUUUUGGUGUUGAAUUUGUGAUGCGACAUGUACUUUAAAGUUUUUGAAAACUAUUCCAUUGCAAUGUUUUUAAUUUGAAUGAAGUGCAUUUUUAUUUUUUUUAUUUUUUUAGAUGUGUGACACCCUUGUGUGAAUUAGGGUGUUACAGUAUUUACUUUUGGUUAGACAACUGGGUGGGUGGAGCACCGUUAAGAGUGCAACUCCCUCGCUUGUUUGAUCUAACCCAACAUAAGGGUGCGACAGUUAGGGAGAUGGAGGAGUUAGGGUGGGCGGUUGGUUGUGGAGGAGGCGCCUUUUGGCUUGGGAGGAGGAGUCCGUUACGGAGCGUGCAGCUUUGCUAUCUAACAUUAUUUUGCAGGACACUACUGUUGACAGGUGGCGAUGGGUUCUUGAUCCUAUUCAAGGAUAUUCUGUCAGAGGGACUUAUCAAUACCUAACGUCAUCUGAUUCACUUGAGGAGCGGGGCCAUUACGAUAUGGUGUGGCUGAAAAGGAGGUUGCGGUAGUCAGAUUGCUGCCAAAAGACAACCUGGUACGUAGGAUGAUAUUUCAUCAGGACGAUAUGGCUUGUGUAGGAGGUUGCGGUAGUCAGGAGUCGGCGGUUCACUUCAUCUAGCGCUGUGACAUAUUUAGCAUUAUUUGGCACCUAGUCUACAAGUGGAUUGGUAUUUCUUUCAUAUCCCCUGAAUCGGUGAUCGAUCAUUUACAUCAACUUGGCCGUUUAGCAGGCUUUUCGCGACAUGUUCACUCUUAUCUCCAAGUGAUUUGGCAUACUACUAUUUGGAUCAUUUGGAAGGAACGAAACAACAAAUUUUUUAAUAACAAAGUUUAGGAUGUGUUUAAGUCGUUAGAUGUUGUUAAGUUUAUGUCUUUCUCUUGGUUAAAAGGUAAGUUGCUCACUUCUACUUUCGGUUACAAUGAUUGGUGGCGGAGCCCUUUAUUAUAUAUUGGUGUUAGGGAAAAGUUUUCUUUUGCUUGAUUUUUCGUUGUGUUUUACGACAAUAGACUCAUAAAUUUGUACUACUUUUGGGUGGUUCUUUCUGGCACACCUUGUGCUAGUUGAAUCACUCACGUUUAGUUAUAUUUCAUUUUGGCUUCUUAAAAAAAAAACAUAAAUCGACUUGAAAUCUUUUUUUUUUUUUAAAAAAAAAAUACAUGUGAAAUGAUUGCUUUUUAUAAGAAGUAGACAUGAAAUGAUACAAAGGGUAACAAAAUAAAGUGAAAAAAAAAUAAUAAAUUAACGGGACAGUGUAAGAAUAUUUUCUUAAGAUACGUGACAGUAUAGGUUAAAUGCCCUUGAAAAAAUAUAGAAUUAAAUGUAACAAAAAAAACAAAUAUUUCAUUCAACCAAAAAAGUUGAUAUUUCAUUUUUUUUUUUUCGAGAUUUGAACCCGAUCCUUGCAUAUAUUAUGCAUUUGUCAGCAUUUAAAACUUACUUAUUUUAUUUUAAAUAAAUUAUAAUAUAUUAUAAAGGGUAAAAUUGAAAGAAAUGGUAAUAAGUUAUACGCUACUUGAAAUAGUGUCUUAAAAAUAAGAUAUAAGCUCGUGAAAUAAAUUAUAAGUUCGUGAUGAAAUAACAUUUACUAAACGAGAUUAUUUUUGUCAUACAAACGUAUGUCUUACCAAACAGACCCUUAAACUAUGAGUUUUCACACGAGCAUUAACUAAUCAACUACUGUGCCACGCUCUAAUUGGACGUGCCAUAGAUAAUCCAGCAAUUUAGUCAAUAUUCAAUACUAUAUUACUUCUCUAAUCUUAUGCCAGUUUUAAUAACAUGUAUUUAUAUUCUGAUGGAUUUGUAUGGUCCUUAAUUUUAGGGUAAAUUUAAAUAAUUUAUUAAGCCACGUGCUUUUUAUUUUAUCAUUUUAUAUAAUAUAUUAUUAGAUGUUCAUUUCACGUCCAUCUAUGUUGGCCUAACGAAGCCAUGUUUAUUUCUACAACUGCUAUAAAAAUUAGAGUGUACAAGUUGUCAAAUGAACUAGCCUCGAUGAGGAUAUCUUUGAUGAUAUGUUCUCAUUUAUAUUCUAGUCGCGGGUAAAAAAAAAUAAAAAAGGAUAUUUUUAUAACUAUUUUUCGACAAUUUUUGUAACAACUUUCUUUUUUAUACUCAUUAUAUAUAUUUAUUUUUUCUCACUAUUGUUUUAGUUUUUGUAUUAAUGCCUCAUUUUUUUUAUAAAUUUAUAGUUGUCUCAAAAGUUAUCAUUAAAAUGGUUGUUCAAAUAACAAAACUCUAAAAACAAAGCUUCGUUUUUAAGGGCAUAGGAGGGAACAAUGAUUGCUAAAGUGUUUAUAAGUGGUGGAGCAUAUGAGUAUAUUGGUUCCAACUCAAGAACUAUGAACCUUCGUACCACUAACUAAUCUACUAUGUGACACUCUAAUUGGGCAUGCACCUUAAUUCAACGGUUUAGUCAAUAGUCAAUACUAUCAGAGUCAUUUCGGUAAAAUUGGAGGCCAUGUUCAAAUAUUAAAAGUGGGCUCCUAUGAAAAAACAAUAUUUUUUAAGCAAUAGUAAUCGUCUAUUUAAGUUGUAAAUAACAUAAAAAAUAUUCGUUGUUAUUAAGUAAAAGUAAGUUUGUAUGGGAAGGACUAACUAACUUGUAUUGAAUUUCACUAACAACUAAUUGUUUUAAUAUUAAAAUUUGGUUCAUAUUUCAUAAUAAAAAGAAACACCAAAAACUUAAAAUUAGAAUCAUCACUUUGUUUAGUGCAAAAUGGGUCUUAAGUAUAUUGGUUGUUGUUGCUUAAAAAAAGUGUCUUUGUUAUCUAAAUAGUGACAAACUAGUACUAAUAUCGGAAAAAAAUAGUAGCAAAUUAGUACUUGCUUGCAUGAUAACUUAAAACAAUAGAAAAAAAUACUAAUUAUUUAACGGAUUUAAUUUGCAUUGUUAAUGAAAAUAGAUGACAAAAAUUUCAAGAUAUAUAGUAGUUUUCUACAUUCUUAGAUAACUCUGAAAUGUAUUUUAAAUUGUAAUGGUACAGUAGUUGUGUAUGUAAUUGAGACUUUUAUAUUUAAUUCAAAUUCACACAAAUGCUCGAGGUUGAACCUCAAGAUCGAUGACUCAAGUGCAUUCUAUUUAACCACUAAACUAUUCCAAGAUGCCCAUUCAUUUUUUAUAUUUUAUUAUAUAUACCUAACACUUUUGAAUGCUAUAUUUUUUUUUUUUAGCUCCUAAGAUUGCAAGGUCGGGCACCGUAGCUCACCUUGCACAUGCUGCCCUAAUGAAGCCUCUUGAGUUUUAAUUGAGGUAUUUACUUCUACGAACACACAAAAAGGAGAAAAAAAAAUAGAGACUAUUAUAUAAGUCACCAACAGGUUAAAGUUUAAAUUGAGGGUGUGUGUUGGAAAUUAUGAAGACCUAGAAAGGAACAAAGACAACUAAAAUGUGGCUUAAACUUUCUGAACGUGUGUCCCCACACUUAGGACAUCUGCCAUAAUCCAACUGUUAAGUCAAUAGUCAAUACUAAAUUACUUCUCUAAUGUGCAUAUUGGAUCAGUUAAAUAAAUCAUCGUGCGACGUGCUUUUUAUUUUAUCAUUUUAACAUAAAAUAUAAGAUAUUCAUUUCACAUCUUGCCAUGUUGACCUAAUGAAAAAAAAUGUUGACCUAAUGAAGUUUCUUGAGUUUUGCUUGAGUUGAGGUAUAUAUUUCUACAACCGGUAUUUCUCGUUUCUCAGUUCAUCAUAGAUAGAUAGAACAAAAUGAGAAACAUUACAAAAAUAGCAUGCUUCAAUAUUUUCUUUCUUUCUAUAAUAGCACUUCAUGUUCAAAGCCGUUUAUUCCCAAUAAAUUGAUUUCCAAUGGAGUUGAUGAUGUUCAAGCAGAAGAAGAUUCAUAUCUACUUCUUAACAAUGAUAAUGACAAAGGAGUUAUUACUGAAUCUUCUUCUAAUUCAGAGGAGUAUUGUAAACAAAUGUAUGGGUUUUUGCCAUGUUCUAAUAACAUUCUUGGUCAUUUAUUUCUGAUAUUGGUUUAUGAGUACUUAUUGUUCCAUGGAGAAUCAUAUUUGGCUGCUGGAGGUGAACAAAUAUUCAAGAUUCUUGGUCCAGGUGUUUUUGGUGCUAGUGCUUUUGAUAUUCUUGGUGCCCUUCCAGAGUCCUUAAUUCUUCUUGGUAUGCUAGCAGUGCUAUACUUUUUUAUUUUCGUUUAAAUUAAAUCUCUUUAGUUGCUUCCUACUUUCAAAGCAUUUUUUUAUUACAUGGUGGGUGGGUGGGAAUUCAUUACAUAUGGUUUGGUUUAAUAUAUAAUAUAUGUAUGCAUUAUAUAUCCACAACUUUCAGUCAUUAUUAUAAACAAAAAUCUACAUUUUGGAUUCAUUCAAUUAAUGAUGUAUAUGGUCUUUAUUAUAGACUACAUACAUCAUUUAAUGAAUAAAUCUAAAAUGUUGAUUUUUAUUUAUAAUAGUGACCAAGGAUCUACAUACUAGAGGUUGAGAGGCAUUGUGUGCCCUUCUAUCUUUUUUAUUAUAAAUAAUUUUAUUAUGAAAUUUAGAUUUUGAUUAAAAUUAUAUGUAUAGAUGUUUGUGACUUAUUAUAACAAAUCAUGUUUAUCUUUUUUAGUUACACUACAAUAUUGCAAAUAUAAUAUAUACUCUUAAUCUUUUCAAUGACACCAAAAAUAUAACAUUAUUAUAGGAAAAAUUUGUUUUAGAGUAUAAUAUGAAUAAUGAAAAAUUCAACCCAAAAUCUAGUAUUUCCUUUAGAUAUUUUUAUAGUAAUAUUGUUCAUAUUGUAGUGGAGUAUUAUAAUAAGAUCUAGAUGUAUUUUAGUUUGUAUGAUAUAUUUUACAUGCUAAAGACAUUUCCUCAUUAUAUUGUUCCUAUUCGUACUAAAAAUAAAUUUGGUGUCAUAUUUUACAUGUUAAAUGCAUUACUAUCUAAAUAAAAAUGUUUAGAUGUAUUUAUGAAAUAUGGAUUAAACAUUAAAUUUAAUUCAAGGCUAAAAUCAAUUGUAGAAGUCAGAAAAUCAUAAAUUUUAACUUUAACUAAAAUCAAAUGUACAAACAAAAUAAUUAUUCUUUAAAUCAUCUAAACAUGGUAAAAUCAAUUCUACAAUCUCAAGAAUCACUUUCCACCAUCCAAAAUUGAAAUUCUCUCAUAAUCAAAGAAUACCUCAUAUGUAUCCAAAAAAAAUAAAAAUAAAUGUAUACAAAAGAAAAUUACACGAGUACCGAAUUGGAGAGAGCCAUGACAUGGCCCUGUGCUUAUUCCAUCUCCUAUGUAGUUCGUAGAGGUGAUCACAACUAAAUCAAUUAAAAAUAAAACCGCAAACUAAACAAAAAAAAAGUACAAAACUAAAAUUUAUUAGAUGUGCUUUAGUAUCAACAACUGCUUAAACCAGAUCAUAUUUUUUAUUCAUUUUUUAAAUCAGAAUCAAACCAACCCGAACUGCUUAGAACAUAUGUUAUAUUUUGCUUCAAACGUAUGAUUUUAUCGUGUCUUAUAAUAUUAAUUUUAAUAGAUUUUUCCACAAAAUUGUAAUUUGGAUGUCCAAAAACAUAUCCAAAUUAAACCGCAUAAAAUUAGAUUGUAUCAAAAGUUUUUUUUAAUGACAAAUGUUAAUAUGUCAAUUGUUAGGUUCAUAUUUUAUCAAUUAUAAGGAUUUGAACCAUGAACCUUUAACACUUUUAAUCUCUUAGCUCAACCAAAUGAGCUACACAUCCCCUCUAAAUAUAUCUUACACAUGCACACAACUUAUUUAUAUUCAAUUAUAUUAGUAAACUUUACUAUAUAUAGACAUACACUCACACUUACUUAAUUAUCUUAAUUAUGUGUAUACUUGUUAUAUGCUAGUUACUGGACUUUCAAGUGAUAAGGAGAGUGCACAAGAGUAUGCUUCCACUGGAGUUGGAUUGUUAGCUGGAUCAUCCAUCUUGCUUCUCACAGUUGUGUGGGGGACCUGUGUUAUUGUUGGCAAGCAAAGCUUACGAAAUGACUCUCAUUCUUCUGAUACCUCAAAUUCAUCAACAGGAAGAAUAAAACAAGCUUUGACUGGUUUGCUUUUGAUUCUAUCUCUUUGUUUAAAUCCCUUAAUAGUUAAAAAAAUCACAUGU